GGUGGGUGGAGCGCCAGGCCAUUCUUUCUCUCCCUUGGAUCCGGCCACCGGGCCAUAAAGUCAUUCCAUAUGGCCGGGGGCGGCCCCACUCCCGGGUGCAAACUGCCCAGGCCCUCGAGCCUCACGUGCAGGCACUUCGUCCUGAAGUCUCCAAGUGUUGACACAUCCUUCCGUAGAGGGUCAUGCUCUUGGUUUGAGGUGGGUGCAGAUCACCUUUUGUAACCAACCCUUUCUUGUCCCUCUAGCAAAUCUCACAU
rnacentral:lncRNA from 1 species